rnacentral:rRNA from 1 species
UACGUAGGGUGCGAGCGUUAAUCGGAAUUACUGGGCGUAAAGCGUGCGCAGGCGGUCUGUUAAGACAGAUGUGAAAUCCCCGGGCUCAACCUGGGAACUGCAUUUGUGACUGUAUAGCUAGAGUACGGAAGAGGAGGGCGGAAUUCCCGGUGUAGCGGUGAAAUGCGCAGAGAUCGGGAGGAACACCCGUAGCGAAGGCGGCACUCUGGGCCGGUACUGACGCUGAGGAGCGAAAGCGUGGGGAGCAAACAGG